GGAAGUAAAAGUCGUAACAAGGUUUCCGUAGGUGAACCUGCGGAAGGAUCAUUCACAAUACAAAAACUCACAUCCUGUGAACCCGCUAAUGGCCCUGCCAUUGGCAAUCACACAUACCGGUCUGCUUGGUAUGUGGCUGUGCAAACAGUUGCAGACAACUUGUGGUGGUUAUAUCCUAAGAUAUUCAUAAGCUCUAUACACUAUUAGCGGUGGAUGUCUUGGCUCCCACAACGAUGAAGGCCGCAGCAAAAUGCGAAACGCAUUGUGAUUAGCGGAAUUCUGUGAAUCAAUAGGUCGCUGAACGCAAACGGCACUACUGCGUGAGCAGUAGUAGGUCUGUUUCAGUCUCAAUUGCAAUCUCACCAAACAAUUUUGUAUUAAGGUACAAGUUGCUAUUGGUGAGGUAAUGUGCUGCUCGAUACGUCUGGCAGUCGCAGUGUUCUAUAACUGUUCCUAAGUUAACAUAUUGGUUUCAACUAUGUUGCUAUGGGACUAUAAUGUUAUAGCGUACUAAACUACAUGAGCUGAAAUCAGACCAGGCUACCCGCUGGACUUAAGCAUAUUAGUCAGCGGAGGA
rnacentral:rRNA from 2 species